rnacentral:rRNA from 1 species
GACGAACCGUGCGAACGUUAUUCGGAAUCACUGGGCUUAAAGCGCGUGUAGGCGGGCCGCCACGUCGGCUGCUGAAAUCCCCCGGCUCAACCGGGGAACGGGCACCGAUACGAGCGGCCUCGAGGGGGGUAGGGGGGUCUGGAACUUCCGGUGGAGCGGUGAAAUGCGUUGAGAUCGGAAGGAACGCCCGUGGCGAAAGCGAGGCCCUGGACCCUUUCUGACGCUGAGACGCGAAAGCCAGGGGAGCGAACGGGG